UGGCAACAUAAUACCACAUCAUGAGCUGCA
rnacentral:piRNA from 1 species